rnacentral:lncRNA from 1 species
UGGCAUGACCUUUGCAUUGGGAGGACACACAACUCUACUUUGGACAUUUUCAGGAAUAACCCACAGCUCUUGAGGCUGUACCGGGUAGAUGGUAUCUGAAUAAGCAUCCAACCAUGUAUUUCGAGUGUAAUAACGAGAAGCCAUGGAGUAUACAUUUAGUUUCAAGAAACGGCAAACUACAACUACAUACUUGCAAGGUAGUUGCUCAAGCUGAAACUUCCUACAACUGCAAGUGUUAUUCGUCAAAUGUACGUGGCCGUCCAUAUCACCGUCCACGACAUUAUACUCUACAUGAUUCAGUUUCACGACAUUCAUCCUUGAAGCGCAUUCCAACCUACGUCUCAGCUUCUUCUUGCCAAAGUCAGGGCACAAUGUUGAUGUACAU